rnacentral:rRNA from 1 species
AUGGAUUAGUGGCGAACGGGUGAGGAACACGUGAGAAACCUGCCUUUCAUUCUGGGAUAACACCGGGAAACCGGUGCUAAUACCGGAUACUCCAUCUUGGCGGCAUCGCCGAGCUGGGAAAAAAUUUUGAUGAAAGAUGGUCUCGCGGCCUAUCAGCUAGUUGGUGAGGUAAAGGCUCACCAAGGCAACGACGGGUAGCCGGCCUGAGAGGACGAUCAGACACACUGGAACUGAGAUACGGUCCAGACUUC